UACGUAGGGUGCAAGCGUCGUCCGGAAUUAUUGGGCGUAAAGAGCUCGUAGGCGGCUUGUCGCGUCGGCUGUGAAAACCUAGGGCUCAACCCUGGGCCUGCAGCCGAUACGGGCAAGCUAGAAUUCGGUAGGGGAGACUGGAAUUCCUGGUGUAGCGGUGAAAUGCGCAGAUAUCAGGAGGAACACCGGUGGCGAAGGCGGGUCUCUGGGCCGAUAUUGACGCUGAGGAGCGAAAGCGUGGGGAGCGAACAGG
rnacentral:rRNA from 1 species